GGCCCCAUCGUCUAGUGGCCUAGGACGUCAGGUUCUCAUCCUGAAGAUCCCCGGUUCGAAUCCGGGUGGGGUCA
rnacentral:tRNA from 2 species